GACGAACGCUGGCGGCGUGCUUAACACAUGCAAGUCGAACGGAAAGGCCCUGCUUUUGUGGGGUGCUCGAUUGGCGAACGGGUGAGUAACACGUGAGUAACCUGCCCUUGACUGUGGGAUAACUUCAGGAAACUGGGGCUAAUACCGGAUAGGAGCUCCUGCUGCAUGGUGGGGGUUGGAAAGUUUCGGCGGUUGGGGAUGGACUCGCGGCUUAUCAGCUUGUUGGUGGGGUAGUGGCUUACCAAGGCUUUGACGGGUAGCCGGCCUGAGAGGGUGACCGGCCACAUUGGGACUGAGAUACGGCCAAGAGUCCUACGGGAGGCAGCAGUGGGAGAUAUUGCAAAAUGGGCGGCAGCCUGAUGCAGCAACGCCGCGUGCGGGAUGACGGCCUUCGGGUUGUAAACCGCUUUCGCCUGUGACGAAGCGUGAGUGACGGUAAUGGGUAAAGAAGCACCGGCUAACUACGUG
rnacentral:rRNA from 1 species